UGGGGAAUAUUGGACAAUGGGCGGAAGCCUGAUCCAGCAACGCCGCGUGAGGGAUGACGGCCUUCGGGUUGUAAACCUCUUUCAGCACAGACGAAGCGCAAGUGACGGUAUGUGCAGAAGAAGGACCGGCCAACUACGUGCCAGCAGCCGCGGUAAUACGUAGGGUCCGAGCGUUGUCCGGAAUUAUUGGGCGUAAAGGGCUCGUAGGCGGUUUGUCGCGUCGGGAGUGAAAACACCAGGCUUAACUUGGUGCUUGCUUUCGAUACGGGCAGACUUGAGGCAUGCAGGGGAGAACGGAAUUCCUGGUGUAGCGGUGAAAUGCGCAGAUAUCAGGAGGAACACCGGUGGCGAAGGCGGUUCUCUGGGCAUGUUCUGACGCUGAGGAGCGAAAGUGUGGGGAGCGAACA
rnacentral:rRNA from 1 species